AGGAAACAGGAGGUGGGACAUCCAGCAAGGAGAGAGAGAAUUCUGGGAGAUAGUCAGAAGUGGAAGUUUCGACAGCCAGACAUUGAGAAAGAAGGCCAGGACUGAAGGAGAGGUAACCAACCAGCAGAUUUAUUUUUAUGUGUGUGUUUGCCUACAUGUACAUCACAUGUGUGCAGUACCCGAAGAGGCCAGAAGAGGGCGUCAGAUCUUCUUGAUCUGGAGUUAGAAUUACAUGCUGCCCUAUGAGUGUUGGAAACCAAAUCCAGGUCCUGUGGAAAAGCAGCAUGUGCUCCGAACUGCUCAGCCACCUCUCCUGCCUCUACUGUUCUGCUCAUCAUCCUCCUGUCUCAGCCUCUCAAGUGCUGGCAUAACAGGCCCUACAAACUGUUGUUCUGAUUUUGAUUUUGGUGAGCUGAACUCCAGGCCCCUCACAGAAGCGAUACAGCAUCUCCUCAUGAGUGGCUUCGUUUCACUUACUUUAAUGUCCUUGAGAUUCAUCCUCAUCAUGGCCUGUGAUGGAAUUGCCUUCCCCUGAAGGUUGAAUGCUAUCCCUCAGCCGUAAAUCCUGCAUCGUUUUCACCUGCUCACCCACUGCUGGAUGCUUGAGUUGUUUGUUUUUGAUUUUUUGCCUCUUGGUUGGCGAGAGUCAUGGCACUAUGAACGUAGGUGCCCAGGUCUCUUUUGAGACACUGCUUUUACUUCUGGCAGUACACCCAGAGUGGGAUUGGCAUGUGUGUUUUUAAAAUUAACUUAACCACAGUGAAUUUCUUGGUACGAAGUCAAUAAGGAUGUGAGCACUGCCUUGGGUAUACAGUGGGCACAGGCCUC
rnacentral:lncRNA from 1 species